GUGGGGAAUUUUGGACAAUGGGGGCAACCCUGAUCCAGCCAUGCCGCGUGUGUGAAGAAGGCCUUCGGGUUGUAAAGCACUUUCGGCCGGAACGAAAUCGCGCGGGCUAUUACCCCGCGUGGAUGACGGUACCGGAAGAAGAAGCACCGGCUAACUACGUGCCAGCAGCCGCGGUAAUACGUAGGGUGCGAGCGUUAAUCGGAAUUACUGGGCGUAAAGGGUGCGCAGGCGGUUCUGCAAGUCAGGCGUGAAAUCCCCGGGCUUAACCUGGGAAUGGCGCUUGAAACUACGGGACUGGAGUAUGGCAGAGGGAGGUGGAAUUCCACGUGUAGCGGUGAAAUGCGUAGAGAUGUGGAGGAACACCGAUGGCGAAGGCAGCCUCCUGGGCCAAUACUGACGCUCAUGCACGAAAGCGUGGGGAGCAAACAGGAUUAGAUACCCCGGUAGUCC
rnacentral:rRNA from 1 species